UGAACGCUGGCGGCGUGCCUAAUACAUGCAAGUCGCGCGACCAGACGCGGAGCUUGCUCCUCUGACGUUAGCGGCGGACGGGUGAGUAACACGUGGAUAACCUACCUAUAAGACUGGGAUAACUUCGGGAAACCGGAGCUAAUACCGGAUAAUAUAUUGAACCGCAUGGUUCAAUAGUGAAAGACGGUUUUGCUGUCACUUAUAGAUGGAUCCGCGCCGCAUUAGCUAGUUGGUAAGGUAACGGCUUACCAAGGCGACGAUGCGUAGCCGACCUGAGAGGGUGAUCGGCCACACUGGAACUGAGACACGGUCCAGACUCCUACGGGAGGCAGCAGUAGGGAAUCUUCCGCAAUGGGCGAAAGCCUGACGGAGCAACGCCGCGUGAGUGAUGAAGGUCUUCGGAUCGUAAAACUCUGUUAUUAGGGAAGAACAAAUGUGUAAGUAACUAUGCACGUCUUGACGGUACCUAAUCAGAAAGCCACGGCUAACUACGUG
rnacentral:rRNA from 1 species